UCCUGCCCUGAAGACCCCUCUGUCUCUACGAGCAACUGUCAGAACGCUGACAAAAUCGAGCCGCUGACCAUCAGACGUCACUGCCUAAAAGCCCUGUUACUUAUGCAGCAUGAUCAUGUGCUCAGAUUCACACCAUGACACCUGCUGUAUCAUGUAACAAAAGCAUUGCAUCAUGGAACUGUCGACUCAUCUCUGUCAUUCACGCUUGGUUUUCAUGAUAGCAAUGCAGGCUAGUGUUUUAAUGAGAUAUUAUUAUAAUACUGUUGUACAGACUUGGCACAAUUGUUAGUUUCACCUGGAUUGCAUCAUGCCAAAAAAUACAUUUUACUGAAGCGUCAGCAGUCACAGUUAAAGAUUUCCAUUGUUUGUUUCAGGUUUAAAAUAUGGCUUAUCACUAUUAAAUUUUGGAAAAAAAAAACAUCUAUGUAUCUUUAGCUGCCCACAAGUUUUCAGUGAAUUUGUAAAUAAUCCUUUUCAAUGUUGAAACGCAAACAUGUGAAGUAUGUUCAGUGACUGACUGACUAAUACUGGAAGCACAUUUGAAUAGAGGAAGAUUUAAGAGCCUGAAAAUGAUUCAUAUACAGAAAAAUCAACAAGAAAGUGCUUUUAAUGUGUUUACAUCAUUCUUAACAUUUUUUUAAACUGAAGCAAAUAUGAGAAAAAUUUUAAUUUCACUGCAUUUUUUUUUAUUUGCGUCAUGUUGCCUCAAAAGUUUUAUAAUUUUAUCUGUAGUCAAGAUAUGCCUACUGAGAAGAAACAGAUAAAAUGAUAAAAAGCUGUUAAUCUCUUAUUGGGGAAGACAUCUAACAUGUCUGUGAUGACUAGUGCCAUGCAGAAUAAACAUACAGACACACAUCUGGCCUGUGACCCUCAGUUCUCAUAAAGCAAACUUCAAGAGAGAGGGCAAUGCCCAGAGCAGGAUAUGAGCGCGAACGUGUCCCUUUAAAAGCUGCCAGCCAGAGCCGAACAGAGGGAAGGAAUGUUCUGAGGCCUUAACAAAACCAGAUGCCCCAGCUUACUCUCCCAUGCACAGAUGCUCUCUGUUGCCUUCACUGACUCUUUCAGUUCUUACUUUAACACCACAGAUGGAAUCAAGGACUGAGGUGACUCCUUCGUCUGCCUGCUUACGGCGCAUCCCCCACGUCGACUACCUUCAGCGUGGUCUGGCCAGGUCUCUGUCUGGUCCCCAAUCUCCUUAUCUUCUUGUCUGCUCGUCUUUGCUUCUCAGUCCUUAUGCUUGGCAGACCUUUUCCUCAUCCCCCUCCACCCCCGCUAGCUGCUCUCACUUCAGUGCCACAUGCAUACACAUGGGAUUAUUCCACUCUCCCUCCUGUACAUCCUCUUCAGGUUUGUUUCAGGUCAGCGCCUCGCCUGCCUGAUCCGCUCCCAGGGAAUCUGCCUUUGAGUGCAUUAAGAGAUUGUGGAAGAGGGGAUGCAAAGGGCACCUGCUGUAAACAGGAUGGAGCCAUUUUUCUAUCUGAUUGUACUGUCUAUCUGUGCAUGCAUGAGUGUGCACAUCCCUUCCCUCCCACCUUUCCAAUCCAGAUGUGCCACACCCUCUCUGCACCCGGGUGGCCUAUACCUGUACCUGAACCAGAUGUUCUGCCAGCUGUGGAGGGCGAGCAAAUGAAACGUCAUCACAGAAAGUGAGGAGCAGACAGCUGCAGCAAACAGAGCGACUGACUACCAGCAUUGAAAGAGGACAGAGUCAACCUACAGGCUAUCAAUCAUGAAAUAUUUUUAGCUCACAGCCAUUUUAUGGAAUAAUACAUAGUAUUAUGUUAAAUGGAUAAAAAUUAUGGCUGUCAACACACUAUUGUCACACUACACUGUUAAUGCAUUCCUGUUAAUUUGUGCUGAUGAUAUACACUUAAUGGAUUAGUCAUGGUAAUACCACUAUUACUACUAUUACUACUACUAAUUUAAAAAAUUACAUUUCAUAAAAACAUUAUUAGGGCAUUGGUUGGUUUUUGUGACAAGUUAAAGACAUCCCAGGUUAUUAAUUUUAGAUCUUUUAAUUUUGCACAGUCAAAAAAAUUCUCACUCAGCAUGUUGUAAUUAUUCACCAUGUUUUACAAAUGUUUGCUGUAGUGAAGUGUUAAGCAGAAGGUGCUGUAGAAGUCUGGAAAGUAAGCUGGCAAUGUGAUGCACAGGUGGUCAAAAGGAAGAGAUCAGAAAAAUAUACAAAUACAUUCAGAAAUGAAAGUUUUGACCAUUUACAGAUACAAAAGGAAUGAAAAGAGCCUUAAAGGAAGUACUUUUUAGACAGCCUUUGCUUAACACUAAGUGAGGAACUGUCACACAUUACAUCUAAACUUAUCAUUAGCAACAGCAGGGUAUAAAAAUAAUGAAGGAGCACUCAUAGCAAUAAGAGUUUAAUAAUAAGAGUUAAAGAAGACAGUUUACAAAUGAUUAAAAAUUAACAUUUUUCUUUUUUCGUUUAUGAGUCAUCUUUCAUUCAACUGAGACUGGCAUGUUGGAAACUACAGCACAUUACUGUUCCAGGCUUCGGGCUUAUAGACUUAGCUAACACACUUCCUGUUAUAGAUGUACAUUAUACUGCCAGAGGGAACAUAAACAAUAAUCUUCUUAAGGCGUGAGCUGCCCUGUGAGCAAUAAUAGCAAGUCCUUACUCAAGCAAUUUAGUGUAUCUCACAAUGAGAACUGGAACCAUAAUGUUGUAAGGUACUGUACUGUACUCUCCUUUUCAGUCAUUCGGUGUGUGAUGUACGUGUUUUAAUCAGUAUUGCUUAAAAUAGUAUUUGAUUUUGGGCUAUAAACCUUUAUACAAGUAUGUAGUCCUUUGCUUUUAUUUUGACUUAAGUUGUAAUUAUUUUGUCCUUUCUCUGUAAGUUCACUGUGAUGCAACCUUGAGGCUCUGAAUUCCUUAAAGUUAUUUCACAGCAUGCAUUUUAAUUACAUCUGUGCUUUUUUUCUACUCUAAUAUUUUAAAUGACAGUUAACUGGUAAUUGGUUUUAAAUGAAAACUCUCCACUCUUGCAGCCUUUUCCUCAACAUCAGGCAGUCAUCUGCUGCGCAUUAGUUAGCACACAAACAGAUCAACCGGUAAUAAUCUCUGAGAUACUGAGGGGCUGCUUGAAUAUUGUGAAAGCUAACACCAAGAGAAAGAGGCAGAGCAGGAAUACACGCUACGUCUUCACACAUCUGUAAAGACUGAAAUGUCUGUCUGCAAUUUAUUCAUUUAACUCCUCCCAGAUUUUCAAGCUUUAGCCAGUUCGCAUUGGAUUUCAAACACUCAGAUUUUGUUUUUUGUUUUUUUAAAUAAUAAGUUGUCUAUCCCAAAGGAAUUGUGUAGAACUACAGUGGUAUCCAAAAGCCAAAGGUCAAAGUUAUGUGUGGUCACGCACAACACAGUUUUCUUUCCGAGGAUAGGGUUUCCAGUGCCCUUUGGAAUAUGUAAUACCAGUCACAUCCUCACACAGCAUGUAUAGACACUAGGCAGCUGACUUUGACCCCUGGCUGAUAGUAGAUUAUCUUUUUCUGUUCAAGUUCAGAUGACCCUCAUAGAGAAGGUCACAGAAGCUCCAUGUGGUCUGUCCAAGUACAUAAAUCUAAUUAUUUUUUUAUCUUGCGUCUGACGAGAGAUUCUACCUCAAGACAUCGAUGUCAGAUCUGUGAUCAUUAUCGCUUUAUUCUCUCUGCUGUGCUUUCACUAAUGGCUAAUGGAGUGAUAGGGCGACUGUGUUUAAACUCACUUUGAAAUAAAAGAUCAAAACCAAGAGCUAAUGGAUGGGUUCCUCUUUUAAUUCUUCGGUGCUGUGUCUGGUGUGCGGCUCUUGUUCACUUCUUAAGUCAAAGCAGGAAGAAGCUCCAAGGCCAGGUCUGAAGAGGUUUACAAACCUCUCCUAAAUUCUUCCCUGUGGGUGAAAUCAUGUGAAAGCUGCUUAGGCAGAUUAUCCCUGCCUCGACGGCAGCUGGCAGUGAGAUCCUCGGGAGUGCACCUGACUCAAUACUGGUGGUGACGCAACUGCGCCUGCAGCACAGCGUGCCUCCUCAAUCCUCCAUGACCUUUAGCCCCAGAGGGAAAAGUGCAUCUUGUGGCCCAAAGCAGACAAGAACUCGAUCACAUCAGGAGGUUGCACACACACACACGAUCAGUGUAUUGAACUAGCACUAGGCUAUCAUAAAUACUGCUAUGGUAUAAAUGAGAGGAAAUGCCAAUGGUUGUUGUUUAACCUUAAAUUCUAUUGAAACAGCAUUUUACUGAGCUUGCACAAUUGUAUUCAGUGACCAAUUUAACUACCAACAAGAAUGUCUUUGUUACUGGAAUCAGAUACACUCUUCUCCUUUUCUGACUUGUAGGGAAAUGGAAAAGUUUGUUGUGUUUAGUUGGUAUUUAUAUGGACAUGAAGUCAGUCUAGUACAAUCAACAGGCUUUUCCUGAUUUUACUAAAACAAUUCUUCAUAUUUUUUUAAAAAUUAUACUAAAUACUAACUUUAUUUUAUUUUUUUAAAGUGUUUUUUCUGUGGUAUCAUUAUGGUGUAUGGUAUUAUGAUAAUUCUACAUUAUAGGCUAUUCCAAAUUGUGAAAAGACGUUAUGUUUAUUAGUGACUGUUUGAGUGAAAUUUGCUGGUGUCUGAGUGGUUUCAGAUGCUAAAAUUUUAUAUUUGGAUGGAAAGUGUCACUUUUCUAAAUGAAAUGUUGGCAUUACUGGAAAACAUUCCCUUUCCAAGUAUAUUUUAAUGAGGUCCCCAGUGCACUGUCACCUCAUGAAAACACAAUUCACCAGCAUAAUCCAUGUCCUAUCGCAUUUAGUUUGCAAGUUUUAUUAAUGUGAAAGGAUUCAUUUUCUGUCUUUCACACAGGAUCCUUUGCCAAAUCAAGAAGAAAAAAAAAAAAACUGCCACAGAUGCCUUGCUGAAGCAACUUUAUGCUUUCUCCUUUCAGCUGAUACAAAGGUAAACUAUGGGGCUGUGUGCCUAUGGAAUAGUUUUCUUUCAAGAAAACUACAAUUUUAGGGGCCAUUACACAUCCCACAAAGGUAAAUAAUCCAAGAACACUGUCUAGACAACAGCUGAAACACAUCAAGUCAAACAACAGUAAUCCAAAGAGGAAUCCCUGUACUCUGUCUGUCUGCUGUCAAGCAAGAUAGGAAACAAGGAAAUAUGUAACAAAUAAAAUGUUAACAUUUUCCGUUUCUGUGAAGCAGAAAGACAGAGCUUAAGGACUGCAUGUACAUUGAUCAAAUAUGCCAUGGGGAUGAUUACUGUGCUUUUUGAGUGUGAAGUUGUGAAAUGUAGUUGAAUGUCAGUAACCUGCUCUUUAGAACUGGUGAGUAAUUGUACAAAUGUUAGCAGCUGAAAUACAGUGAGGUCUGUUUCUUCUCAUACUGUCUUUCUUUGUGGUUGAGCAGCUUUACUUUAAAUGUAGGAAAUUUAUCACUAUGGUCAUGUGCUUUCUAUCCUGCAGUUGUUUUAUGGAGUGCUGUCCUGCUAUGAUUAAUGAGCAAUGAAUAAAGUAAUUUAUUGAAACUGUCAA